AAUGAGCGUUGUGGCGAGCGCCUGUGAGCCAGCUUAUAGGCAGUGGAUUGGUGUGGACGGAGUGAGGGGAGGAGUCCCGUGGCGUAUGAGGACCGGGCAUCCGCGUCAAGCGUUGUGCUACCGUCGGAGUAUGAUGGUUUCCGUGUGGUCAAGGAGGGGUGCACGGCGCACUCCCGUAAGAAAGUAGGCAAAAGCCCCCGCGCGACGCAGUGGCCGGAUCGCGCCAGCGAGUGCUCACGUUGUCACGGCAUCUCCGAUACCUCCGGUCCUCUAAUCGU
rnacentral:SRP_RNA from 1 species